rnacentral:misc_RNA from 1 species
AAGUCGUAACAAGGUAACCGUAGGUGAACCUGCGGUUGGAUCAUUACAAAUUCAACAGGAUAAAGUUCGCCAUGGAACCGUUCGCGCGGUUUCGUGGUGUUCCUAAUCUGACCACACCUUUGUGAACCACUGACCGUAUCUUAUGGCCACAUUUGCGUUUUCCUACGGGGGUAGUUGACUUCAACAGUGCAUGUUUGACGCGCUACAUGAAACUCGGACUAUUGGCCUCGCUCUUAAACGGGCGAGGGCAGAACCUGGUGGCCACUCAAACAAUGAAAACACCCGUUUUUUGACAUUUUGCCUUAAAAAUCAAUCUGAAGCUCGAAAGAGCGCUAGGAUUUAAAAAUGAGAAACAACUUUAGACAACGGAUCUCUUGGCUCUC